ACGGAGGGUGCAAGCGUUAAUCGGAAUUACUGGGCGUAAAGCGCACGCAGGCGGUUUGUUAAGUCAGAUGUGAAAUCCCCGCGCUUAACGUGGGAACUGCAUUUGAAACUGGCAAGCUAGAGUCUUGUAGAGGGGGGUAGAAUUCCAGGUGUAGCGGUGAAAUGCGUAGAGAUCUGGAGGAAUACCGGUGGCGAAGGCGGCCCCCUGGACAAAGACUGACGCUCAGGUGCGAAAGCGUGGGGAGCAAACAG
rnacentral:rRNA from 1 species